rnacentral:rRNA from 1 species
UACAGAGGGUGCAAGCGUUAAUCGGAAUUACUGGGCGUAAAGCGUGCGCAGGCGGUUAUGUAAGACAGUUGUGAAAUCCCCGGGCUCAACCUGGGAACUGCAUCUGUGACUGCAUAGCUAGAGUACGGUAGAGGGGGAUGGAAUUCCGCGUGUAGCAGUGAAAUGCGUAGAUAUGCGGAGGAACACCGAUGGCGAAGGCAAUCCCCUGGGCCUGUACUGACGCUCAUGCACGAAAGCGUGGGGAGCAAACAGG